GAUGAACGCUGGCGGCGUGCCUAAUACAUGCAAGUCGAGCGAACAGAUAAGGAGCUUGCUCCUUUGACGUUAGCGGCGGACGGGUGAGUAACACGUGGGUAACCUACCUAUAAGACUGGAAUAACUCCGGGAAACCGGGGCUAAUGCCGGAUAACAUGUUGAACCGCAUGGUUCUACAGUGAAAGGCGGCUUUGCUGUCACUUAUAGAUGGACCCGCGCCGUAUUAGCUAGUUGGUGAGGUAACGGCUCACCAAGGCAACGAUACGUAGCCGACCUGAGAGGGUGAUCGGCCACACUGGAACUGAGACACGGUCCAGACUCCUACGGGAGGCAGCAGUGGGGAAUCUUCCGCAAUGGGCGAAAGCCUGACGGAGCAACGCCGCGUGAGUGAUGAAGGUCUUCGGAUCGUAAAACUCUGUUAUUAGGGAAGAACAAAUGCGUAAGUAACUGUGCGCGUCUUGACGGUACCUAAUCAGAAAGCCACGGCUAACUACGUG
rnacentral:rRNA from 1 species